CCUACGGGAGGCAGCAGUGGGGAAUAUUGCACAAUGGGGGAAACCCUGAUGCAGCGACGCCGCGUGAGUGAAGAAGUAAUUCGUUAUGUAAAGCUCUAUCAGCAUGGAAGAACAUGACGGUACCUGAGUAAGAAGCCCCGGCUAACUACGUGCCAGCAGCCGCGGUAAUACGUAGGGGGCAAGCGUUAUCCGGGUGUACUGGGUGUAAAGGGAGCGUAGACGGCAGUGCAAGUCUGGAGUGAAAGGCGGGGGCUCAACCCCCGGACUGCUCUGGAAACUGUACGGCUGGAGUGCAGGAGAGGUAAGUGGAAUUCCUAGUGUAGCGGUGAAAUGCGUAGAUAUGAGGAGGAACAGCGGUGGCGAAGGCGGCCUGCUGGACUGUGACUGACGUUGAGGCCCGAAGGCGUGGGGAGCAAACAGGAUUAGAUACCCUUGUAGUC
rnacentral:rRNA from 1 species